rnacentral:rRNA from 1 species
UAGGGAAUAUUGGUGAAUGGGCGAAAGCCUGAACCAGCAACGCCGCGUGUGCGAAGAAGGCCUACGGGUCGUAAAGCACUUUUUGCCGGGAAGAGGAAGGACGGUACCGGCAGAAUAAGCCUCGGCUAACUACGUGCCAGCAGCCGCGGUAAACCGUAGGAGGCGAGCGUUAUCCGGAUUUACUGGGUGUAACGCGCGUGCAGGCGGACGGGUAAGCUGGGUGUGAAAGCUCCUGGCUAAACUGGGAGAGGUCGCUGAAGACUGCCGGUGUGGAGCAGUGGAGGUGUGGGCGAUAUACCGGGUGUAGUGGUGAAAUGCGUAGAUAGCCGAAGAAUCACCAGUGGCGUAAGCGGCCUUCUAGACCAUGACUGACGCUCAGAC